rnacentral:rRNA from 1 species
GUGCCAGCAGCCGCGGUAAUACGUAGGUGGCAAGCGUUGUCCGGAUUUAUUGGGCGUAAAGCGAGCGCAGGCGGUUUCUUAAGUCUGAUGUGAAAGCCUUCGGCUCAACCGAAGAAGUGCAUCGGAAACUGGGAAACUUGAGUGCAGAAGAGGACAGUGGAACUCCAUGUGUAGCGGUGAAAUGCGUAGAUAUAUGGAAGAACACCAGUGGCGAAGGCGGCUGUCUGGUCUGUAACUGACGCUGAGGCUCGAAAGCAUGGGUAGCAAACAGGAUUAGAUACCCUGGUAGUCCAUGCCGUAAACGAUGAGUGCUAGGUGUUGGAGGGUUUCCGCCCUUCAGUGCCGCAGCUAACGCAUUAAGCACUCCGCCUGGGGAGUACGACCGCAAGGUUGAAACUCAAAGGAAUUGACGGGGGCCCGCACAAGCGGUGGAGCAUGUGGUUUAAUUCGAAGCAACGCGAAGAACCUUACCAGGUCUUGACAUCCUUUGACCACUCUAGAGAUAGAGCUUUCCCUUCGGGGACGAAGUGACAGGUGGUGCAUGGUUGUCGUCAGCUCGUGUCGUGAGAUGUUGGGUUAAGUCCCGCAACGAGCGCAACCCUUAUUACUAGUUGCCAGCAUUUAGUUGGGCACUCUAGUGAGACUGCCGGUGACAAACCGGAGGAAGGUGGGGACGACGUCAAAUCAUCAUGCCCCUUAUGACCUGGGCUACACACGUGCUACAAUGGAUGGUACAACGAGUUGCGAGACCGCGAGGUUUAGCUAAUCUCUUAAAACCAUUCUCAGUUCGGAUUGUAGGCUGCAACUCGCCUACAUGAAGCCGGAAUCGCUAGUAAUCGCGGAUCAGCAUGCCGCGGUGAAUACGUUCCCGGGCCUUGUACACACCGCCCGU